UGGUGGGUAGUUUGACUGGGGCGGUCUCCUCCUAAAGAGUAACGGAGGAGCACGAAGGUUGGCUAAUCCUGGUCGGACAUCAGGAGGUUAGUGCAAUGGCAUAAGCCAGCUUGACUGCGAGCGUGACGGCGCGAGCAGGUGCGAAAGCAGGUCAUAGUGAUCCGGUGGUUCUGAAUGGAAGGGCCAUCGCUCAACGGAUAAAAGGUACUCCGGGGAUAACAGGCUGAUACCGCCCAAGAGUUCAUAUCGACGGCGGUGUUUGGCACCUCGAUGUCGGCUCAUCACAUCCUGGGGCUGAAGUAGGUCCCAAGGGUAUGGCUGUUCGCCAUUUAAAGUGGUACGCGAGCUGGGUUUAGAACGUCGUGAGACAGUUCGGUCCCUAUCUGCCGUGGGCGCUGGAGAACUGAGGGGGGCUGCUCCUAGUACGAGAGGACCGGAGUGGACGCAUCACUGGUGUUCGGGUUGUCAUGCCAAUGGCACUGCCCGGUAGCUAAAUGCGGAAGAGAUAAGUGCUGAAAGCAUCUAAGCACGAAACUUGCCCCGAGAUGAGUUCUCCCUGACUCCUUGAGAGUCCUGAAGGAACGUUGAAGACGACGACGUUGAUAGGCCGGGUGUGUAAGCGCAGCGAUGCGUUGAGCUAACCGGU
rnacentral:rRNA from 1 species